GAAAUGGUGCAGCCACUGUGGAAAACAGAUUGGUGAUUUCUCAGAAAGAUAAACAUAGAACUGUCAUCUAACCCAGUUAUUCCACUCCCAGAACACUGUACGCUCAUAACUAAUGCGACAAUGAUUGAGAAUGAACAGCGAUGACUGAUAAAGAAGAUCCCUAAGGAGACUAAAGGAUAUGAGACCCAGAGCCCCCAUAAGUAGAGACAGCAGAUUUUCUCAGCCUCAGAUUCUCUAUUUAUAAAAUAAAGGAAUGGGCUUGAAAGUU